CAGUCGCCGCGGGAAUACGGAGGGCGCGAGCGUUACCCGGAUUUACUGGGCGUAAAGGGCGUGUAGGCGGCCUGGGGCGUCCCAUGUGAAAGGCCACGGCUCAACCGUGGAGGAGCGUGGGAUACGCUCAGGCUAGAGGGUGGGAGAGGGUGGUGGAAUUCCCGGAGUAGCGGUGAAAUGCGCAGAUACCGGGAGGAACGCCGAUGGCGAAGGCAGCCACCUGGUCCACUUCUGACGCUGAGGCGCGAAAGCGUGGGGAGCGAACAGGAUUAGAUACCCCUGUAGUCCCUGUCUCUUAUAC
rnacentral:rRNA from 1 species